AGCAUAUCAAUAAGCGGAGGAAAAGAAACCAACAGGGAUUACCUCAGUAACGGCGAGUGAAGCGGUAACAGCUCAAAUUUGAAAUCUGGCUCUUUCAGGGCCCGAGUUGUAAUUUGUAGACGAUGCUUUGGGUGUGGUGCCGGUCUAAGUUCCUUGGAACAGGACGUCAUAGAGGGUGAGAAUCCCGUAUGUGAUCGGUUACCUCCGCCCGUGUAAAGCUCGUUCGACGAGUCGAGUUGUUUGGGAAUGCAGCUCAAAAUGGGUGGUAAAUUUCAUCUAAAGCUAAAUAUUGGCCAGAGACCGAUAGCGCACAAGUAGAGUGAUCGAAAGAUGAAAAGCACUUUGGAAAGAGAGUUAAACAGUACGUGAAAUUGUUGAAAGGGAAGCGCUUGCAACCAGACUUGGGUGGUCGCAAUCAUCCGGGGCUCGCCCCGGUGCACUUGCGGCGGCACAGGCCAGCAUCAGUUUCGGUGGUGGGAUAAAGGCCUUGGGAAUGUAGCUUCUUUCGGGGAGUGUUAUAGCCCUCGGUGCAAUGCCGCCUACCGGGACUGAGGACCGCGCUUCGGCUAGGAUGCUGGCGUAAUGGUUGUAAGCGACCCGUCUUGAAACACGGACCAAGGAGUCUAACAUCUAUGCGAGUGUUUGGGUGUUAAACCCAUACGCGUAAUGAAAGUGAACGGAGGUGAGAACCCGUUAGGGGGCAUCAUCGACCGAUCCUGAUGUCUUCGGAUGGAUUUGAGUAAGAGCAUAGCUGUUGGGACCCGAAAGAUGGUGAACUAUGCCUAAAUAGGGUGAAGCCAGAGGAAACUCUGGUGGAGGCUCGCAGCGGUUCUGACGUGCAAAUCGAUCGUCAAAUUUGGGUAUAGGGGCGAAAGACUAAUCGAACCAUCU
rnacentral:rRNA from 1 species